rnacentral:rRNA from 1 species
UACGUAGGGUGCGAGCGUUGUCCGGAAUUAUUGGGCGUAAAGAGCUCGUAGGCGGUCUGUCGCGUCUGCUGUGAAAACUCAGGGCUUAACCCUGAGCUUGCAGUGGGUACGGGCAGACUAGAGUGCGGUAGGGGAGACUGGAAUUCCUGGUGUAGCGGUGAAAUGCGCAGAUAUCAGGAGGAACACCGGUGGCGAAGGCGGGGUCUCUGGGCCGUAACUGACGCUGGAGGAGCG